GAAUAUGUUUGAGGUCUAUUUCGUAUGUUCAUGUUAAAAUAGCUCGUUACUAAGACAUCUGUUUAAAAUGAGGAUGAAUAUGUUUGAGGUCUAUUUGGUAUGUUCAUGUAAAAAUAGCUCGUUACUAAGACAUCUGUUUAAAAUGAGGAUGAAUAUGUUUGAGGUCUAUUUGGUAUGUUCAUGUAAAAAUAGCUCGUUACUAAGACAUCUGUUUAAAAUGAGGAUGAAUAUGUUUGAGGUCUAUUUGGUAUGUUCAUGUAAAAAUAGCUCGUUACUAAGACAUCUGUUUAAAAUGAGGAUGAAUAUGUUUGAGGUCUAUUUGGUAUGUUCAUGUAAAAAUAGCUCGUUACUAAGACAUCUGUUUAAAAUGAGGAUGAAUAUGUUUGAGGUCUAUUUGGUAUGUUCAUGUAAAAAUAGCUCGUUACUAAGACAUCUGUUUAAAAUGAGGAUGAAUAUGUUUGAGGUCUAUUUGGUAUGUUCAUGUAAAAAUAGCUCGUUACUAAGACAUCUGUUUAAAAUGAGGAUGAAUAUGUUUGAGGUCUAUUUGGUAUGUUCAUGUAAAAAUAGCUCGUUACUAAGACAUCUGUUUAAAAUGAGGAUGAAUAUGUUUGAAGUCUAUUUGGUAUGUUCAUGUAAAAAUAGCUCGUUACUAAGACAUCUGUUUAAAAUGAGGAUGAAUAUGUUUGAGGUCUAUUUGGUAUGUUCAUGUAAAAAUAGCUCGUUACUAAGACAUCUGUUUUAAAUGAGGAUGAAUAUGUUUGAGGUCUAUUUGAUAUGUCCCUGUACAGUGGUUCAUCUUUAUUUUCAAUUUAUUUCAAAUGAAAUCUUGUAUAUCUGAAACCAUUUCCACAGAUAAUGAAACCAUGAAUGUUUUGGUUGUUUUUCCUUGAAUAAUUGGCAAUUGUUGUUGUUUUUGUAUCUAAAUUAGGCCUUUAGUUCUGAGUUGUUUAAAAAGUGCUAUAAUAUUUUGUUAUACUGUUAAAAACAUGUGUGAUAUGAAGUUGAUUUGAAAAUAGAUUUGUUAUAAGUUUAAGUUUUGCAUUUUUGUUUUGUUGUAGAAUUGAACAUGUGAAUGUGAAAUGAAUGCAAACAUGUUUUCCCUUUCCACCCUUUUGCAAGCACAAAUAUUAUAAACCAAUGGUAUUUGUUUAAAUAGAAUUUUCAACUCUCGUUCUUAACUUAAAUCAAUAAUAUUUUCAUGAUUCCACAGCAAGGCAGAUGAUGUGCAUUUUUUAUCUGCUCCAUAGUGGUUACUACUGUCUGCUUAUAAAUGUAUAUAUGGGCUGUGCUCUGUGAAAAGGGGAUUUCAUGCAUGUACGUAAAGUGUCGUCGGAGAUUAGUCUGUUAAGUCUGCACAGGCUAAUCAGGGACGAAACUUUUUGCUUAAACAAGAUUUGUGCGAAGAAGAGACUUUCUUGAAUCGAAAAAAAUCAUAAAAGCGGAAAGUGUUUUCCCUAAUUAGCCUGUGCAGACCCCUUUUCACAGAGCACGGGGCAUAUAUAGGAGUCUUUUCACGUUAAUUAUUACUAAAUUCACACUUUUUAAUCAUUUCAUUUACUCCUUAAUAAACUAAAUUUACAAAAACGUAUAACAUCAAAAUAAGUUUCAAUGCAGUCUGUGACACAUUUCUACUUUAAUUAUAUUUUGUAGAAUCUACGGCAGCAGACGUGCUUUUGUCUUGUUUAUACACUUAUUUCUGUAUGUGAGUCAUUUGCAAACGAUUUGAAUACUGAACACUUUCAACUUUAUUGAUUUGUGUGAUAUUAAUUUGUGAAUAAAGUAAAUAUUAAAACUGUAAACAUCAAUUAUGUAAACAAAAAAUUUAUAAAAAAAAUAAAAUUCCCC